UUCACCGGAGCAGGAAAAAGCUGCAGGCAGGCCACCAGAACUAGAAGCCGAAUCCAUUGUGUUAUCUCCAUCCUCCUCUUGCCUUUGGUAAUUUUUCUUUCUCCCGCAGAAGCAAAUCCUUUUUUAUUGUUUUUAUUUGGUGCACAAACAAAUGCACGACCAACGUACCUUAUAAAGGCAUAGUUUUUGCUGCCAUGUCGUUUUAGGCGAUUAGGUAGAAGCAAGAAUACUUGAAGGAAAAGCUCUCCUUGUGGGAUAGGGAAUGAAACAUUAUAAAGAAAAUAAAAGUGAUUUCUUGUGUAUUACACAAAAUUAUCUAUCAACUAAAGACAUUUUUGAAGCGAAGCUAUGUAGUUGAUCCUCCUGUCCUGAUGCCUAUUUUUGAAUUGACUAGGUCCAGGUGGUCAGCAACUGGGUUUGGUCCAACCGUAUUGGGUGAAGUACACCCGAUCCCCAUCUAGGAAUUAACCCAAAAAGUAAAAUUGCAAGCUAUUGCAUUUAGCUUUUUUUUUUUUUCCUUUUCUUUUCACAUUUUUUUAAGGUCAAAGGCAAGAAUUAGCAUUUAGCUCACUUCUGUGCUGUUUUCCUUUUUUUUUUUUUUAAUAAUUAUUGGAAAAUAUUUGUUCACAUUUCAAAUCUAAUUAAUAGGUAUUCGCGUACACACUAAUAUGCUAAAAUUAUAAAUUUAUUUUUAAAUCUCACCCCCAAAUUAACUAGAGCUAAGCUCAAUUAUUUCACAACUUCAACUUCUUAGGUUUUACCAAAGUUUCCCAUCAUCAAAAAAAAAAAAAAGGCCUUAAAAUUUUCUGUGCAAGAAUUAAAUUUGAUACAAAGAACUAGUGUGUGUGAAAGUAAGAUCAAGCAACGUUAUUCCUAAUGCUGACCAACAUAGUUUGAUAAAAUUCAAAAAUUUUGGUACCUUAAAAUUUUGAAAUCAAUUGAAGCUACUGCUUAAACCAAUCUUCAAGCCCUAAUUUCUGGUAUAUAAUAAGCCCUAGAGUGAAAUCAAACCCUAACAAUCCAUUAUUACCAUUGCAAUCCUUAACAUCGUCAUCAUCUUCCUUGCAGAAAGCAUAAGAUGCAAUCUCGCAAACUGCGACAACUUUUUCAUAUAAAGUUACUUCAAAUUUUGGUCAAACUUCAAAAUGAGUGCUAUCCAACCAAAAUGGUGACACAGAGAUAGUUCUCAACAACACAAAUGCUGAUGAUUUUGUCGGACCAAUAUAGAAAAAGAUAAUCAUAUUUAUUUAUAUAAGCUUAAUUUUAUUGCUAUAAAAAUUAAUAUUAAUAAAAAUAUAAAUAAUUGCUGCUAAAAUAUUUGUUAUAGCCAGUAACUAUUGUUUCAGUAUCAAACACAAUUUUAUUGUAAAAUAUUAUUACUACAAUUUUAUAUCAUAAAUUUAUAGUAAAAUUUUUUAUAUUUUUAUAGCAAAAAUUUUUGCCAAUAAUUUUAGCAUUCUUGUAAUGACCAUAUGUCAAUAUUUUUGAGGGUUUAAUUAAUUAAUUAUUAAAAUGAAAGAUGGUAAAAGAUAGAAAAGUUGAAGUUUUUAGAUGAAAUCGUUUUGGAAGAUGAUGGUAGAUGAAAGAUACAUAUGAAAGAAAAAGUCCAAGUCUGGUUGAGAAAUGGUUAUCAUGGAAUUUGCUAGGGAGGAAAGUAUUAGGGUGGGUAACACCUCCAUCUAACCUCUUCACUUAGGUAAUUCCACUUUGUGGAACAUUAAUGACACGGCCGCUAAUUGCUGUUACUUGAUUGCUACUGCAAUAUCUUAAUUUCUUCUAGAUAAUUGGUUCUAAAGCAUCAUCACAAAAUGAUGUUUGUUCUGAUUUCAUUUCAAAUAGAUUUCAGGACCCAAAUCCCUCUCAUCACCAUGCUUCCAAGCGAUCGUCUCCAACCACUGAGCAUCUGACCAUUGCCUUCAUGCAUGCUUUCCAACUACUGUAUAUAUAUCCAUCUCUAUCACAUGCUAACUCUUCUUUUAUUCACAC
rnacentral:lncRNA from 1 species